rnacentral:lncRNA from 1 species
CUUUCUCUGUUAUAUAUUGUCAACUGUCGGUGGGUUUACUUUGGCAACUGAACUUAGAUUUGAAAAUUUCUGUAAUCAUGAUUCUUGAUUCUUCUCUGCAAGCUUGGUGGAGAUUAUCAGUAUUCAUCAUUGCAAUAUAAUUGGUCAUUUUUUUUAUAUGUAUUUGUUUUCGAAUAAUUGUUCUUAGAUUGUGUACAAGCUGGUGUUGAAGUUUAUGUGUUUCAAUAUGCAGAACCUGAGUACAAUACUAUGGAAUAACUCUUUGUCCUUCCUGAGAUGAAGAACUUUGGACGAAUUGGUAAUGAACUUUGGACGAAUUGGUAAUGACAUAGGUGUUAUUUGUCUAAUGAUUUGGUAGUUGGAUAGGUUUUCUAUAUAGUCUUCUUUUACAGGUUUGAGUGGUUUCAAUUGUUAUUAAUGAUUUAGAUGAUGAUGAUACUCCUAUAAAAAUAUCAUUUUGGUUAAAGUGGUCUAGGACACUUCUGUGUUAGGAGGAAUCCAAAAUCGUGUCACAUAUCAUGUGCAGGAUUUAAUUUGGUUAUCUCUUCUAAGUCUCUUUAUGUUUCAGUCUAUGUUUGAUACUCAGCAUCUACUUUUGUCAGUUUCGUUGAGUUGAGUUUUCUGUGUGGGUGAAACAGGGGAGAUAACCAGUAAAUGUUUGGGGUGCCCGUGGAACCUGAGGCAGGCAGAGGUUCUCAUACUUUUUUGUGCUUUAGGAAUGUCAGUAUGAAACAUUUAAGAUUUCUAGAUUUCAUCUUUUUAUCC